rnacentral:rRNA from 1 species
GUCGAGCGGAAAGGCCUUCGGGGUACUCGAGCGGCGAACGGGUGAGUAACACGUGAGUAAUCUGCCCUGCGCUCUGGGAUAGCCACCGGAAACGGUGAUUAAUACCGGAUAGGACCACUUCACGCAUGUGAUGGUGGUGGAAAGUUUUUUCGGCGCAGGAUGUGCUCGCGGCCUAUCAGCUUGUUGGUGAGGUAACGGCUCACCAAGGCUUUGACGGGUAACCGGCCUGAGAGGGUGACCGGUCACACUGGGACUGAGACACGGCCCAGACUCCUACGGGAGGCAGCAGUGGGGAAUAUUGGACAAUGGGCGGAAGCCUGAUCCAGCAACGCCGCGUGAGGGAUGACGGCCUUCGGGUCGUAAACCUCUUUCAGUACCGACGAAGCGCAAGUGACGGUAGGUACAGAAGAAGGACCGGCCAACUACGUGCCAGCAGCCGCGGUAAUACGUAGGGUCCGAGCGUUGUCCGGAAUUAUUGGGCGUAAAGGGCUCGUAGGCGGUUUGUCGCGUCGGGAGUGAAAACACCGGGCUUAACUCGGUGCUUGCUUUCGAUACGGGCAGACUAGAGGUAUGCAGGGGAGAAUGGAAUUCCUGGUGUAGCGGUGAAAUGCGCAGAUAUCAGGAGGAACACCGGUGGCGAAGGCGGUUCUCUGGGCAUU